AGGAUGUUGGCUUAGAAGCAGCCAUCAUUUAAAGAAAGCGUAAUAGCUCACUGGUCGAGUCGGCCUGCGCGGAAGAUGUAACGGGGCUAAACCAUGCACCGAAGCUGCGGCAGCGACACUAUGUGUUGUUGGGUAGGGGAGCGUUCUGUAAGCCUGUGAAGGUGGCCUGUGAGGGUUGCUGGAGGUAUCAGAAGUGCGAAUGCUGACAUAAGUAACGAUAAAGCGGGUGAAAAGCCCGCUCGCCGGAAGACCAAGGGUUCCUGUCCAACGUUAAUCGGGGCAGGGUGAGUCGACCCCUAAGGCGAGGCCGAAAGGCGUAGUCGAUGGGAAACAGGUUAAUAUUCCUGUACUUGGUGUUACUGCGAAGGGGGGACGGAGAAGGCUAUGUUGGCCGGGCGACGGUUGUCCCGGUUUAAGCGUGUAGGCUGGUUUUCCAGGCAAAUCCGGAAAAUCAAGGCUGAGGCGUGAUGACGAGGCACUACGGUGCUGAAGCGACAAAUGCCCUGCUUCCAGGAAAAGCCUCUAAGCAUCAGGUAACAUCAAAUCGUACCCCAAACCGACACAGGUGGUCAGGUAGAGAAUACCAAGGCGCUUGAGAGAACUCGGGUGAAGGAACUAGGCAAAAUGGUGCCGUAACUUCGGGAGAAGGCACGCUGAUAUGUAGGUGAAGCGACUUGCUCGUGGAGCUGAAAUCAGUCGAAGAUACCAGCUGGCUGCAACUGUUUAUUAAAAACACAGCACUGUGCAAACACGAAAGUGGACGUAUACGGUGUGACGCCUGCCCGGUGCCGGAAGGUUAAUUGAUGGGGUUAGCGGUAACGCGAAGCUCUUGAUCGAAGCCCCGGUAAACGGCGGCCGUAACUAUAACGGUCCUAAGGUAGCGAAAUUCCUUGUCGGGUAAGUUCCGACCUGCACGAAUGGCGUAAUGAUGGCCAGGCUGUCUCCACCCGAGACUCAGUGAAAUUGAACUCGCUGUGAAGAUGCAGUGUACCCGCGGCAAGACGGAAAGACCCCGUGAACCUUUACUAUAGCUUGACACUGAACAUUGAGCCUUGAUGUGUAGGAUAGGUGGGAGGCUUUGAAGUGUGGACGCCAGUCUGCAUGGAGCCGACCUUGAAAUACCACCCUUUAAUGUUUGAUGUUCUAACGUGGGCCCCUUACCGGGGUUGCGGACAGUGUCUGGUGGGUAGUUUGACUGGGGCGGUCUCCUCCUAAAGAGUAACGGAGGAGCACGAAGGUUGGCUAAUCCUGGUCGGACAUCAGGAGGUUAGUGCAAUGGCAUAAGCCAGCUUGACUGCGAGCGUGACGGCGCGAGCAGGUGCGAAAGCAGGUCAUAGUGAUCCGGUGGUUCUGAAUGGAAGGGCCAUCGCUCAACGGAUAAAAGGUACUCCGGGGAUAACAGGCUGAUACCGCCCAAGAGUUCAUAUCGACGGCGGUGUUUGGCACCUCGAUGUCGGCUCAUCACAUCCUGGGGCUGAAGUAGGUCCCAAGGGUAUGGCUGUUCGCCAUUUAAAGUGGUACGCGAGCUGGGUUUAGAACGUCGUGAGACAGUUCGGUCCCUAUCUGCCGUGGGCGCUGGAGAACUGAGGGGGGCUGCUCCUAGUACGAGAGGACCGGAGUGGACGCAUCACUGGUGUUCGGGUUGUCAUGCCAAUGGCACUGCCCGGUAGCUAAAUGCGGAAGAGAUAAGUGCUGAAAGCAUCUAAGCACGAAACUUGCCCCGAGAUGAGUUCUCCCUGACUCCUUGAGAGUCCUGAAGGAACGUUGAAGACGACGACGUUGAUAGGCCGGGUGUGUAAGCGCAGCGAUGCGUUGAGCUAACCGGUACUAAUGAACCGUGAGGCUUAACCUUACAACGCCGAAG
rnacentral:rRNA from 1 species